GAUGAACGCUGGCGGCGUGCUUAACACAUGCCAGUCGAACGAAGCACUUUAUUUGAUUUCCUUCGGGACUGAUUAUUUUGUGACUGAGUGGCGGACGGGUGAGUAACGCGUGGGUAACCUGCCUUGUACAGGGGGAUAACAGUUGGAAACGGCUGCUAAUACCGCAUAAGCGCACAGCAUCGCAUGAUGCAGUGUGAAAAACUCCGGUGGUAUAAGAUGGACCCGCGUUGGAUUAGCUAGUUGGUGAGGUAACGGCCCACCAAGGCGACGAUCCAUAGCCGACCUGAGAGGGUGCCCGGCCACAUUGGGACUGAGACACGGCCCAAACUCCUACGGGAGGCAGCAGUGGGGAAUAUUGCACAAUGGGCGAAAGCCUGAUGCAGCGACGCCGCGUGAGCGAAGAAGUAUUUCGGUAUGUAAAGCUCUAUCAGCAGGGAAGAUAAUGACGGUACCUGACUAAGAAGCACCGGCUAAAUACGUG
rnacentral:rRNA from 1 species